GGGGCCGUAGCUCAGUUGGGAGAGCGCUACACUCGCACUGUAGAGGUCGGGGGUUCGACUCCCCUCGGCUCCA
rnacentral:tRNA from 1 species